rnacentral:rRNA from 1 species
GGUUAAGUCAGGCAACGAGCGAGAUCCGCGCCUUUAUUUGCCAGCAAGAAGUCACGACUUCGUUGGGAACACUAAAGGGACCGCCGUCGAUAAGACGGAGGAAGGAGCGGGCAAAGGCAGGUCAGUAUGCCCCGAAACCCCUGGGCUACACGCGGGCUGCAAUGGUAUGAACAAUGGGCUGUGACUCCGAAAGGAGAAACCAAUCCCGAAAUCAUAUCUCAGUUGGAAUUGUCGGCUGUAACCCGCCGACAUGAACGCGGAAUCCCUAGUAAUCGUGUGUCAUCAUCGCACGGUGAAUACGUCCCUGCUCCUUGCACAAA